UAGGGAAUCUUCGGCAAUGGGGGCAACCCUGACCGAGCAACGCCGCGUGAGUGAAGAAGGUUUUCGGAUCGUAAAGCUCUGUUGUAAGAGAAGAACGUGUGUGAGAGUGGAAAGUUCACACAGUGACGGUAACUUACCAGAAAGGGACGGCUAACUACGUGCCAGCAGCCGCGGUAAUACGUAGGUCCCGAGCGUUGUCCGGAUUUAUUGGGCGUAAAGCGAGCGCAGGCGGUUUAAUAAGUCUGAAGUUAAAGGCAGUGGCUUAACCAUUGUUCGCUUUGGAAACUGUUAAGCUUGAGUGCAGAAGGGGAGAGUGGAAAUCCAUGUGUAGCGGUGAAAUGCGUAGAUAUAUGGAGGAACACCGGUGGCGAAGGCGGCUCUCUGGUCUGUAACUGACGCUGAGGCUCGAAAGCGUGGGGAGCAAACAGG
rnacentral:rRNA from 1 species